UCUUACACCAUAAAAAACAAUCACUUAAGAACCCAUUUUUCCUUCAUAAAAAUCAGCCAUGAACACUCCAAAUAAUCUUCAUUUUAAGCCAUUUUCAUGAUGAUCAAAGUGUACGUUUAUGCAAGUUAUGAAGAUCUAAGACAUCUCCAAGUUGAAGCAUCCAUUUUCAUCCAUUCUAGAGCUUUCAACCAUCAUAAUUUUCAUCAUCUUUGCUCAUCAUAUUCAUCAAGAUCAUCCCUAGCCUAGUGCUAGAAGUCGCAACAUUGUUCAGGACGACCACGCGUAAGAUCACGAACACGUACCAUUCGUGGACGCAAUACUGAAAUUAGUGGACCAUGCAGAUAUUUCAGUCAAGAAAAACAAGUAUCCAGACUCCAUGCCAACUAUUGAAGGGUUUGCCCGUUAUAUACCGCCUCUUUGCGGUAAUAUAGUGGUUAAAGCCUUGACAUUUUAAGACUUACAUUUUGAUGUACGAAACAAUGACAGUUUCUUUUCAGUUGAUGGUUUGUAAACAAUACACUAAACUUAUGUUGCGUUAUUUCGAACAAUUAUGGUAAUGGAA